CUAUUUAUCGUCAAUUACUAUUCAUACGAAUAAAAAUAAAUAGAAACUUAUGCAUAGAAAUGUGAGAUCAUUUAACACAUUUAUAUAUUUUAAACGUAGUCAUUUCUUAAUACAUUAAUAGCUCUAACAUUCUACUCACAUUGGUUGAUUAACUCAAAUCUUCAACGAGAUCUCGUAAGUUAUUUGGUUUUUGAUUUCAAAUCACAACCAUAAUAAGGACAAGUGGAAAACUUCACGUAAUCCACAUAAGUCGCUUAACACAUAUAUUACAAAAACAUUUUUAUUGACGAUUCACAUUCAAAAUCUACUAAAUGGUGGAGACAUUUUUAAUAAAUAGUAUCGUUUAAAUUUAACCACAAUGUAUAUGGAGUUUUAAAUUUGAUUAAUAAUUAUAGUUAGAACUUAUGAAGUUAAAAAUUCAAUUCAAUAAAGUAUAUUCAAUUAUUUACUACUUACAUACAGAAGAAAAAUAUAGUGAAAUCAUAACUGCGUCAAAAAUGCUGAAAAAAGAAUGCCUUUGUGUUAUUUUUAUUGGAUGCCUAGCUAUUACUACCUAUAUAAUAUUGUUAUUAUGUUAGUACAUGGCAUAAGUGUACAUACAGCGUCAGAUUGUGGACGUACGACGACCGUAAUCGAUUAGUGACAGUCGCGAAAUUUAACGGACGGCAACAUCACACAUAAAUGCACCAAGAAAUGGCGUGGCCACUUGCAAUACGUGCUCGCGAUCGACCACUCCGUCUCAGGGUCUACGAUGCCGGGAUUUCUUCCAUAGCCACUUUUUCAAAUUCAUGUCACUGCUAUUGUCACGACCUUGAUCACUGAGGGGACACGCUGAUGCCCAACAUAUGAGUCUUUGAACCAACAAGUGCCGAUGUCCAAUCUUGUGUUCUUUUGCGUCGGCAACCGAAGAUAAAUGUCGGUUGGACGGUUUGAAACAUAGUUUUGCGUUACAAACAAAAUUCGCCAACAUUUUUGGCAAUAAGAAAUGCGAAUUAUGUAAUCUUCUAAUCUUUUUCACUUAUUAUUGUAAUAUAAUAUAUAUGUAUAGUAAGUAUAGGUGGGAAGGUAAUAUGAAAAUAACAAUAAAAUUAAAAUAGAAUUAUGCGGUGGAAUAUAUACUUAUAAGAAACUUAAUACAUACAAAUCAAAUAUAUUCAUAUAUACUAACUUAUAUAUUUUAUACCACACAUUAUUUUAACAUAUUAUGAAUAUUACGUUUGAACUGAUUGAAAAUUCUCUCCUAAAAUAGCUUCAAUAAUCUAACAAUGAUACUCCGGUUACAUAUAACGCCUGUCGUAUAUUAUGAUGACAACAAAAUAAAUAAAAAAUAUCACCAUAAUUUUAAAAUGAUCUUAUUUUAUGUAUAAUUGUAUAAUUUAAAAUGUGUAUGGUCUGUGUGGAAAUUGAUUAUAACGAUUUGUUAUUCAUAAAAAUUCCUAAUUGCGUAAAUUCAGCCGAUGAAUUAUUUAAUGUUUCUUUUACGAAAACAUAAUUUUAAAUCAUUAUCAUUUUAGGAACAUAUUUCAAUAAUUUAAAAAAAUGAAAAGACAAGAAGAUUUGUUUUUUUGUUUCUUAUAAUAAUAGGGUUUAGCACUUGAAUAGGUCCUUUUACCGCAUUUUACACAGUACACGCCAUUAUAUACAACAGCGCCUACUGUUUGAUACUAUAAUAAUAUAAUAACUGUUUUCCAUUUUUUUAGGCGUUCGCAUUUCAACCGAACAAAUUUUAUGGAAGAGAAAACGAAUUGCGUACAAUACACUCCCCUCGUUGUUGAAUGUUUUGAAGAUCAUAAAAUGCAUCGGGGGCGCUGAACGCAGUUAAUGUGCAUGUGAUUUGCGUAUUUGUCACGGCGGACUGGCGUUUAACACCCACGGGGAUUCUUCCAGCCUGAACAAUGGUAUACGUGAUAUUGUAGAGUCAUUAAAGAACGCGUGUCGAAACGUAUAAGUAUCAUAAACUAUCACAUAAAAUAAUGUACAGAAUUUAAUUUAAUCUUCCUCUCCUCCUUCGUAGACUAAAGAAAAAUACAUUUACUAAUAUAGUAAUGUAUAUUUAUUUUUUUUACUUGGUUUCAAGUAAUAAGUACAAAUAUUGUGUUUCUGACUGUUGUUAAUUAAAAUUGACAAUUUGUAUUUAUUUGGACUUGUAUCAGUUAAGUAAUUUUUUUUAAAAGAGGAAACAGUACUUAAUACCUAACUGUUUUUUUUUAAAUUUAGUCUUGACAAUAUAUUAUAAGCCUUAAUGUAUAGGUAAUUUAACACAUUUGAUUUUGUCAUUUGUAUGUAGGCAAAAACUAAAAAAAGUGUUUAUUAAAUUCCACCUUAAAUAGUAAAUAAUAAAAUUUGAGUACCUAGUAUAUAUUACAACACUGAUUUCUAUCGUGAAAUAUGCUAUUAUGUUAUGCUCUGCAUAAAUAUUAGUAAUAUUAUCUACAAUUUUUAUGUUGUAACUAGGGUCCGGAUUUAUAUGCAACAAAAAUCUAUAAAAUAUGCAGUUUCAUAUCAUAUAA